rnacentral:rRNA from 1 species
GACGAACGCUGGCGGCGUGCUUAACACAUGCAAGUCGAACGGAAAGGCCCUGCUUUUGUGGGGUGCUCGAGUGGCGAACGGGUGAGUAACACGUGAGUAACCUGCCCUUGACUUUGGGAUAACUUCAGGAAACUGGGGCUAAUACCGGAUAGGAGCUCCUGCUGCAUGGUGGGGGUUGGAAAGUUUCGGCGGUUGGGGAUGGACUCGCGGCUUAUCAGCUUGUUGGUGGGGUAGUGGCUUACCAAGGCUUUGACGGGUAGCCGGCCUGAGAGGGUGACCGGCCACAUUGGGACUGAGAUACGGCCCAGACUCCUACGGGAGGCAGCAGUGGGGAAUAUUGCACAAUGGGUGGAAGCCUGAUGCAGCAACGCCGUGUGCGGGAUGACGGCCUUCGGGUUGGAAACCGCUUUCGCUCAUGACGAAGCUUUGUGUGACGGUAGUGGGUAAAGAAGCACCGGCUAACUACGUG